UAGGAAAAAUAGAAUCUGAAAAGCAGCGUCUUGAAUCGGAGAAUGAUGAUCUUCGGAAGGAGAUAAAGGCAACUGGUUAUAUUCUUAAAUCAGAAUGGGAAAGAAUAUGCAAAUCUGCUGCUCAUGUGACUCUGGACCCUGAAACUGCACACCCCCGCCUUGUCGUGUCUGCAGAUGGUCGUUGUGUACGAGAUCAACAUAAAGAUCAGAACGUCUCUGACACUCCACUCAGGUUUGGUGA